rnacentral:rRNA from 1 species
UACGGAGGGAGCUAGCGUUGUUCGGAAUUACUGGGCGUAAAGCGCACGUAGGCGGCGACUCAAGUCAGAGGUGAAAGCCCGGGGCUCAACCCCGGAACUGCCUUUGAAACUAGGUUGCUAGAAUCCUGGAGAGGUGAGUGGAAUUCCGAGUGUAGAGGUGAAAUUCGUAGAUGUUCGGAAGAACACCAGUGGCGAAGGCGACUCACUGGACAGGUAUUGACGCUGAGGUGCGAAAGCAUGGGGAGCAAACAGG